AGUGCUGGGUCUGGGUGGUCACUACCUGUCUAGGCUGUCUGAUGAACUGAUCCCCGACCUCGCGCUUUGUCCCUGCUCCUGUCUGUCCGGUCACUGGCCCUACACUUCGUCCCUGCUUCUGUCCAGUGGUACGAAGUGACUAUGGAAAGACACUCCCGUGUUAAUACGUUUAACAACAUGCGGUGGAUGUUGUGUGGCCAAAACGGACUAGAGGCAGGGUUGUGGGACGGUGUGUUAAUUGUCUGCUAAUACUAGUCACAGUGCGCAAGCCGAUACUGACGUGUGUUGGGAUCGUACCCGGUAAUGGUUGGCGCCAGAAUGAUUACUGUUAGGGUGUGUUUGAGCAAUGUGUUGCAGCAUACUGUGAAUGGUCCUUGAUGGAGUGUCACAUUUGCGGUAAUCUCCCCAGUAGCCAGCCCGAUCACCUGGAGACUUCACUGGACCGGAGGAGGCACGACAGCACAGUGGUUCAUCACAGUCUGCAUUGGAACCUUCUUGAUAUUCUGGGUCAUAGUGUGUAUCCGAAAGAUGGAGCACUUUCAAGGUUGGCAUUCCUGUCUAUGAAUAUGAUGGAAUUAGAGAAUGAUUAGUAGGUAACAUUUAGUACUAAUGAAACAUUUGUAUAAUACACAUGAAUUACACAAAUCAUAUAUUAAAAUUGCAAAAAAUUGCCCAACCCUUUCCUUUUCUACAGCCUCCCUGCUCCUUGCUAACAUUCCCUUAACUUUCUUCCAUCAGUCUUAGUCAAGACUCAACACAACCUCUUUCCUAAUACAUUAAGCAAACAUAUCUCUUCAUUUUGUCACACUACAUUUUUCCCUUACACAAACACAACUGCUCCCUAUCACUCACAUGGUACUUCUGGCUCAGUACUAGGUCAUAUAUCAAAAUGCAUUCAUCCUACAAUUGUCUUUCCUCCAUGCUUUGUUAUUCCUUGUACACUCUCAGCUUUACCACUGUCUUAUCUGAUUAUUGCCUUUUCUACUGCCUGUAUUCAAUCCUUGCUGCAAACAUUACUUACAGAAGAGGGCUUCUGAUGUUGAACAUGAGGUUUUUGUACAGGAGGGAAAGCCACUCUCCAUUUAUGAUAUGGGUUGUAUGGUAUUCCACAGAUGUCUCCGAUGACAAAGCCACAAAUCUCAUCAGGACUCAUUACAAGAUUUUCCACCACAUAUACAACUUCAUCCUUUGAAAAAAUAAAUAUAAGUUAGUACAAAAGUUGUAAAUUAGCAAAAUAUUUAUAACUUAAGUUUAACAUAAAAAGGAAAGAAAAUUGCUUGUCCAUGACUCAAUCACUUACCGCCAUAAGAUUAACAAUGCCAAGGCAGACUCGUGGUGUCUCAAUUUGUAAGGAAAUGCAGAAUCCAGAUGCAGCCUUAAUGAUAUCUUCUUUUAUCAUACCAUUUUGGACAAACUUUUGCAGCAUACCCACACCUGCAGUACAAUUCAUAGUUACUUUUUGGCAUAUGUAUUGCAAUAAAAGGUUCCACCUUUUCUAUAUUAUGAAAUAUGAUCAUUAUCAUUCAUAAUUAAUGUUUUCAUUAGCAACUACUUCUGAUGCACACUUUAAAAAGAUUACAUUGUGUUUACUAUAAGUCAAGUAACUAUAAAUGUUAUAACCUAACUGCUUCCUUUAUACCAUUCAAAAUUAUUUCCUUCAAGAUAUGAUAAAGAAAGGAAAAGAAAGAAAAACAACCAAGCAACUUGAGCUGUACUAUAAUCAAAAGACUCUAGUACUACAUAUGAAAUCCAUCUCACUGAAAUUAUCUUUCAUCCCAGUAACCACUCAACUUACCAACUUUGCAAGCAGUACAAGAAGCAGUUGACAUGAUGGAAGUUUCAAUUUCAUUCACAACUUGUUCAAGGUCAAGGAACUUUCCUAGAUCUGUGAAAAAUCUUGGCAAACGUGGCCUAUCUAAAAAGCGGCCCUCUCGUUUUUUCACAGCAUCUAACCCUUCCUUAAGUUCCAACAGUAUUGCUGUAUAAUUAAGCUUAGAGAUGUCAAAUUUCUCCACCCUUUCUUUCUCUUCUUGCGUUGUAGGAGUUGCAUGGUCAUAUGAUAUGUCAUUCUCGUGAGAAUCCAAGUCUUUGCUGAUCAGUGGACUACCU